UGAGCCAUGCCUAUGUGACCAACCAGCACCAAGGCCACUGAACACCAAGGCCAGGGUGAGCUCCCAGGUGGGCAAAGCUCCAUGUGUGCUGUCUCUUGUUGCUUCAGGGAGAAACACGUGCUUUGUCCAAGAUGUGCUGGGAGAGGACCUGUGGCAGCUCCAUCCUGGUCUUUGCUGGACCCUGUGCCAUGAGACCUUGAUCCCUGCUGACCUGAGCCAGUCUCCACUUCCUAAUUCCCUGGCAUUUGUACUUAACAGCUUUUUGGAAAGAGAGCAAAGAGCCAGAGGCAUGAAGAGCAGCUGAACAGAGACCACCAUGACCGUGACAGCAUUAAGAAACCUAUGGUCACAGGGCACCUGGCCGGGUGAAGACACAUCCAGGAGGCCAGGGAAGGGAGAAACACGUGCUUUGUCCAAGAUGUGCUGGGAGAGGACCUGUGGCAGCUCCAUCCUGGUCUUUGCUGGACCCUGUGCCAUGAGACCUUGAUCCCUGCUGACCUGAGCCAGUCUCCACUUCCUAAUUCCCUGGCAUUUGUACUUAACAGCUUUUUGGAAAGAGAGCAAAGAGCCAGAGGCAUGAAGAGCAGCUGAACAGAGACCACCAUGACCGUGACAGCAUUAAGAAACCUAUGGUCACAGGGCACCUGGCCGGGUGAAGACACAUCCUGGAGGCCAGGGAAGGAAUGAAGUCUUCUACUUAAAAUCAACAAACAAAUCAUGGUAAUGUGAAGAGUUUUGUAAACCUACUACCUAGAAAUUUGUGAAAAUUACUGUAAAAAUUCAACUCUUUAAAGUCUUUGGAAAUGGUCCUUAAGGCAUACAGCAAAUGAAGAAACGUUUUCCAGAAUAUCUACAAUAACUCAGGUAAGAACAGAGAGAUUCUGUGGUGAUUCAACCAUGACUUGCUCCUUCCCUUCCCCCUUUCUGUCCACAGCAAUAGAAACUGCACCCUAGACGCUGCAUCUGAGAACAUAGGACUCUCUUCUUGUCAAGGGCUAUGGUAUCUUCCCAAGAUGGGUAGGACAUCAGCAUUUCUCACCUUGGCCCUCAGCUACCUGUUGCAGAGGUUCAGUUCCUGGCAAGUGUAUCCAGGAGGUCCAAUCAGGAAGAAGUUGUGGAACAACCUAGAAAAGUUCCCCUGGAACCAGCCAAAGACACAGUUCCCUCUGGCUAGAGAGCACUCAAUUCCCAGCGGCCUCUGCUAGCUGUACCCUUUCCCACUUUUCAUUUGCUUCCCUAUUCCCAUUCCGGACCCCACAGCUGCGAUUCCUCAACAGUUCCAA